rnacentral:rRNA from 1 species
CGCGGCCUAUCAGCUUGUUGGUGAGGUAAAGGCUCACCAAGGCGACGACGGGUAGCCGGCCUGAGAGGGCGACCGGUCACACUGGGACUGAGACACGGCCCAGACUCCUACGGGAGGCAGCAGUAGGGAAUAUUGCGCAAUGGACGAAAGCCUGAUGCAGCAACGCCGCGUGAGGGAUGAAGUCCAUCGAGAUGUAAACCUCUUUCAGCAGGGACGAAGCUAACGUGACGGUACCUACAGAAGAAGCACCGGCUAACUACGUGCCAGCAGCCGCGGUAAUACGUAGGGUCCAAGCGUUGUCCGGAAUUAUUGGGCGUAAAAGGCUCGUAGGCGGUCCGUCGCGUCAGAAGUGAAAACUCGGAGCUUAACCCCGAGCCUGCAUUCGAUACGGGCGGACUAGAGUUAGGUAGGGGAGACCGGAAUUCCUGGUGGAGCGGUGGAAUGCGCAGAUAUCAGGAAGAACACCGAUGGCGAAGGCAGUUCUCUGGGCCUACCCUGACGCUGAGGAGCGAAAGCAUGGGGAGCAAACAGGAUUAGAUACCCUGGUAGUCCACGCCGUAAACGGUGGGCGCUAGGUGUGGGGAACAAUCCACAUUCUCCGCGCCGCAGCUAACGCAUUAAGUGCCCCGCCUGGGGAGUACGG